GACUUCAUGGCCUAAAAGACAAGGUGUCUGACUUUUGGUCAGAAGAUUGAAGGUUCAAGUCCCUUUGCA
rnacentral:tRNA from 1 species